rnacentral:misc_RNA from 1 species
GAUGAAGAACGUAGCGAAAUGCGAUAAGUAAUGUGAAUUGCAGAAUUCAGUGAAUCAUCGAAUCUUUGAACGCACAUUGCGCCCCCUGGUAUUCCGGGGGGCAUGCCUGUUCGAGCGUCAUUUCACCACUCAAGCCUCGCUUGGUAUUGGGCAACGCGGUCCGCCGCGUGCCUCAAAUCGACCGGCUGGGUCUUCUGUCCCCUAUGCGUUGUGGAAACUAUUCGCUAAAGGGUGCUCGGGAGGCUACGCCGUAAAACAAACCCAUUUCUAAGGUUGACCUCGGAUCAGGUAGGGAUACCCGCUGAACUUAAGCAUAUCAAUAAGCGGAGGA